AUUGAACGCUGGCGGCAUGCCUUACACAUGCAAGUCGAACGGCAGCGGACCUUCGGGUGCCGGCGAGUGGCGAACGGGUGAGUAAUAUAUCGGAACGUACCUUUCAGUGGGGGAUAACGUAGCGAAAGUUACGCUAAUACCGCAUAUCUGUGAGCAGGAAAGCAGGGGAUCGCAAGACCUUGCGCUGAUUGAGCGGCCGAUAUCAGAUUAGCUAGUUGGUGAGGUAAAGGCUCACCAAGGCGACGAUCUGUAGCGGGUCUGAGAGGAUGAUCCGCCACACUGGAACUGAGACACGGUCCAGACUCCUACGGGAGGCAGCAGUGGGGAAUUUUGGACAAUGGGCGCAAGCCUGAUCCAGCCAUGCCGCGUGAGUGAAGAAGGCCUCGGUUGUAA
rnacentral:rRNA from 1 species